UACAGAGGGGGCAAGCGUUGUUCGGAAUCACUGGGCGUAAAGGGCGCGUAGGCGGCUUUAUAAGUCGGGGGUGAAAGCCUGUGGCUCAACCACAGAAUUGCCUUCGAUACUGUAGAGCUUGAGACCGGAAGAGGUAAGUGGAACUGCGAGUGUAGAGGUGAAAUUCGUAGAUAUUCGCAAGAACACCAGUGGCGAAGGCGGCUUACUGGUCCGGUUCUGGACGCUGAGGCGCGGAAGCGUGGGGAGCAAACAGG
rnacentral:rRNA from 1 species